rnacentral:rRNA from 1 species
GAUGAACGCUAGCUACAGGCUUAACACAUGCAAGUCGAGGGACCGGCGCACGGGUGAGUAACACGUAUCCCACCUGCCCUUUACUCGGGGAUAGCCUUUCGCAAGAACGAUUAAUACCCGAUAUAAAGGAUGGGGAUGCGUUCCAUUAGGUUGUUGGUUAGGGAACGGCUCACCAAGCCUUCGCUGGCUAGGGGUUAUGAGUGGAAGCUCCCCCACAUUGGAACUGAGACACGGUCCAAACUGCGACGCGAGGCAGGAGUGAGGAACAUGAGGCAAUGGGCGCUAGCCUGAACCAGCCAAGUAGCGGGAAGGGUGAAGGCGUAUGAGACGAAAACUUCUUUGAUAGAAGAAUAUGUAUUAUAUGAAGAAGGAUCGGCUAACUCCGUGCCAGCAGCCGCGGUAAUUC